AGAGUUUGAUCCUGGCUCAGGAUGAACGCUAGCGAUAGGCCUAACACAUGCAAGUCGAGGGGCAGCACAUGACGUAGCAAUACAGAUGGUGGCGAC
rnacentral:rRNA from 1 species